rnacentral:rRNA from 1 species
AAUCAACGCUGGCGGCGUGCCUCAGACAUGCAAGCCGAACGCGAAAUUUCCCUUCGGGGAGAAAGUAGAGUGGCGCACGGGUGAGUAACACGUAGGUAAUUUGCCUUUGGGUGGGGAAUAACUCAGGGAAACUUGAGCUAAUACCGCAUAAUGCAGCGGCUCGACAUCGAGACAGUUGUUAAAGCGGGGGAUUGGAGCAAUCCGACCUCGCGCCUAAAGAGAAGCCUGCGGCAGAUUAGCUAGUUGGUAAGGUAAUGGCUUACCAAGGCGACGAUCUGUAACCGGCCUGAGAGGGCGGUCGGUCACACUGACACUGACAUACGGGUCAGACUCCUACGGGAGCAGCAGUCGGGAAUUUUGGGCAAUGGGCGCAAGCCUGACCCAGCAACGCCGCGUGAAGGAUG